UGGCCGGGUCGCAAUUGUAAAUGAGAACUUGUUCUCAACUUGCCUACCUGGUUAAAUAAAGGUAAAAUAAAAUAAAUAAAUAAAAAUGUGACCUGGUACUGCAGCUGGUCCCAGAGCCUCUCCCAGCUGUGUCCACUGGCAGCCAGGAUCUAGACCUGGAGGAGGCCACUCCUGACCUUACACACUCGGCUGGGGCAGAGGAACAACUGGAUGAAGAACCAUUCAGGCCUCUAGGUGGUGCUCCCAGAAAAUACUUACCUGCGUCAGGUCACAGAGGGACCAGUGGGGCUACCGGAGGCCAAACUAUUUAGACAGCAGAGUUCUACACGACCUCAGAUGGUACGACUAGUCAGGUUUAUGGCCAGCGAAAAGCGUGGUCGACCGUUGACCACUAGUCCCAGACUCCCUGACCCCUCUCAGCCAGCCCAAGCUAUAGAGACAACAGUGGAGUACAUAGUAGCUGGUACCCUGCUCCAUCCUGAUAAACAAGCCAUCAAGAUCCACACAUUUGAAACCGAGAGGAAGAGAAGGGGGAGGAGGAGCCGGAGAGGCAGGAGCAGAUAGCCCUGCUACAGGAUUUAGGGGAGAAGAAAAGCAGGCUGGAGCUGCUGCUACUGCAGGAGGCCCAGGAAGAGCGCAGCUGCAGACGGCCAUGGCCCAAGACACUGCUGCUGCAUCUGGACCACCGAAAACACCAGCCCAGGACGGCAGCCCUGCUGCACCAUCUCCUGAGUCUACUAUACACUCAGCUACUGAAGAUGACCACACCAGGAGAAUCAGAGUAUCAGCAGCAUCUCUUAGACCAGAACAGUCAGUGGAAGAGACUCGCCGGCGUCUGGAAGAGUACCAACACACGCUAAGAAACGGCUAUUCUGGUAUAACUACGGCAACAUGUCUCCCUCCUGGUACCAAAGCCUGUCCUCUACCACACUUUAAAGGAGGAAUCAUUCCACCAGUAGUGCCACUAGAACUCCCCUCUGGCUCUGCCCUUCUCCCCUGUCUCCCUGUAGCACUUAGUACCCACUCUAGAGCUUACACUCCUCUGGACCUCCCCACACCCUCCAUCUUGGCUCAAACUCUCUUCCUUCCUGGCACAACAGUCUGCUCGCAUAUCAACUCCAGGGCCUCUCCGGUGCAGCUAGAACCCACCGCUAAAAGGCUAAGAGACCAAAGUGCAGGUUUUUCUGCUUGGCUGGCAGACAAUGUGUUUAGUAGGGUCCCAGAGGACAUCCCUGAGAGACUACUUUCCCCUCUACCUCGUUGGAUCUACAGACCACAUCCUGUUUCCCUCCACUCUACUCCACACAUCCCACUCCCAUCAAAAACUGACUCCCAGGUCUGGGGAAGAGGUGCAGAGGCAGGAGAUACGUGAGGCCCAGUGUUUGGUGGAGGCCCAGAGGGAGCAGGAGGAAAAACGGAGAUGGCUGGAGGAAGAGCACAGGAGGAGACAGAGGGAGGAGUUACAGGCACUGCUCACUGCUGACAACAAACAGCCUGGUCCGGAGAUCGCUGAUGGUUUUGGGUCAAAGGUUCUGGGGUCAGAGCGUGUCCAUCGGAUGGCAGCUCUGCUGAGGGCCAUCGGAGCCCAAUGGGCAAACAUCAUCUGUAGGAGCUAAUCCAAGCCAAGACGACACACUCAAUGUCCAGAGUUCGCAGCCAAACCCCCGGUGGCCUGUGCCAGGCUGGCCGUCAUGGAGAUGAUAGAGCAGCAUGAGCUCAGUGCCAUCCAGGAGGUGGAGACACCAGCCUGAUCACAGGUACUAUGUGCUGUGUCCAGAAGGGAGUGUGAGGCUGUCUUGUAUUGAAAGGGCAUUCCCAGAAGAACAGGACCACUUGGCCCACUGAGAGAGGUCACUCCAGCACCUUUGUGUUCAGUGUAGGGGAACACACAGCUGGGAGUGAGAUAUUAAACCUGGUCUGGUAGAUCCAGCAAGCUAUCCUGGAGAGAGAGAUUACGGCUGGAGGCUGGUGCCUCUCCUGAACCUGAUCCCACCACGGUCUGCCCAGAACAGUCUCAACACUCCUCUGAGUUUGGGAGAGGUGUUUCUGGAAAAUCUCCUGAGGCAAG